UACGUAGGGUGCGAGCGUUAAUCGGAAUUACUGGGCGUAAAGCGUGCGCAGGCGGUUCGUUGUGUCGGUGGUGAAAUCCCCGGGCUUAACCUGGGAAUGGCCAUGGAAACUGGCGAACUGGAGUGCGGCAGAGGGGGGUGGAAUUCCGCGUGUAGCAGUGAAAUGCGUAGAGAUGCGGAGGAACACCGAUGGCGGAGGCAGCCCCCUGGGCUAGCACUGACGCUCAGGCACGAAAGCGUGGGGAGCAAACAGG
rnacentral:rRNA from 1 species